ACCUACGGGGCGCAGCAGUGGGGGAUAUUGCACAAUGGGGGGAACCCUGAUGCAGCGACGCCGCGUGGGUGAAGGAGCGUUUCGGCGCGUAAAGCCCUAUCGGCAGGGAAGAAGAUGACGGUACCUGACCAAGAAGCCCCGGCUAACUACGUGCCAGCAGCCGCGGUAAUACGUAUGGUGCAAGCGUUAUCCGGAUUUACUGGGUGUAAAGGGAGCGCAGGCGGGAAGACAAGUCAGAUGUGAAAUCCCGCGG
rnacentral:rRNA from 1 species